UUCGUAGAAGCAAAAAUACCAAUCGCUUUGGUGUAGCUGUGAGUCUUCGGUUUCCCUUGCACAAAAAUAAAUAAGAGGAAGGCUUUGAUCAAAGUUCUUCUUCCCUUUUUCUUUUUCUUCACUCCCUCCUUCCUUCUCUUCAACGCCUUUCUUAUAAUCUGAAUUUCAACUGGAAAGUCGUCUCAUAUUCCUUGAUCUGAUCUUCACUACUAUUCAAGCUGAUGGCCACCGCCGGAAACAAGAACAUCAAUGCAAAAUUGGUGCUUCUUGGGGAUGUUGGUGCCGGAAAGUCUAGUCUUGUGUUGCGUUUCGUCAAAGGGCAGUUUGUUGAAUUUCAGGAAUCAACCAUAGGUGCUGCUUUUUUCUCACAAACAUUGGCUGUGAAUGAUGCAACUGUAAAAUUUGAGAUUUGGGACACAGCAGGUCAGGAGAGGUAUCAUAGCUUGGCUCCAAUGUACUACAGGGGAGCUGCUGCAGCAAUUAUUGUGUAUGAUAUAACAAAUCAGGCUUCAUUUGAUCGGGCAAAAAAAUGGGUCCAAGAACUUCAGGCACAAGGCAACCCAAAUAUGGUUAUGGCACUUGCCGGGAAUAAAGCUGAUUUGCUAGACACAAGGAAGGUAGCUGCAGAAGUAAGUGUCUAUGCUUGUACUGAUUUAUGUUACUAGUUGACUGUGUCUGUGACUACAAGAUUCCUUAAAUCUUUACAAAUACUUAAGCAUCCCAAGUACCAAGGACUUUGAUAAGAAAUUGAAGAGGCAACCCAACUUGGUAUUCUUUGGAAAUCUAAGGUGAUGGAGGCUAAGUUGAAAAGAAUAGGAUGUCUUUUCAUUUGUGUGACACAGGCAAAGUUGGGAAUCAACAGGAUAAAUAUUUGUUUGUCAAAAGAAAUUUUCAAAAACAUUUUAUGGAGACAAAGCCCUAGUUUUCACUGAGUACCUUGAUUUUACCAUGAGAUUUAGUCGUUGAGCCAUCCAAACUCAAUUCAACCAGCUAGUUGGGGUCUCUGCCAAGCAUCUGUUUUCAGUUUGAUGUUUCUUCAAAUGGGAAAGGACUCUUAUGUAUUGAUAAGCAUUAUCAACUAUAUUGCUGCCGGAUCAGUUAUAGAUAUGCUGGCAAAUUUUUAUUUUGAGAAAUAUUUUUAAAGUGGGAAGAAAUAUUUUAUUCUUUUCUUCUUCCCCUUUUGAUGGGAGUGCACUGAUAUUGUGCUUAUGAACAUGGAUGUUGCUUACAUUUGACUUUUAUUUGUUUAUUCAUGUACUUAAUAUAUUAGAAGUGCCAAAGGAAGGAUAUGAUAAUCAACUGUAGGAAAUAUCGACACGAAAUAUGGAAAGAUUUCUAGGUAUCAAGUUCUUUUAUUAAUAUUGCAGGAAGCUCAAGCAUAUGCUCAGGAGAAUGGCCUUUUCUUUAUGGAAACAUCAGCUAAAACUGCAGCCAAUGUCAAUGACAUUUUUUAUGAAAUAGCAAAAAGACUACCUCGAGUGCAGCCAGCACAGAAUCCAUCUGGAAUGGUUCUUAUGGAUAGACCUGCAGAAAGGACAGCAAGCACAUCCUGUUGCUCUUAACUAAUUCUGUAGUGGUGUCGUUUCUGCUUGUCUGUAUCUUGUAAAAGUUUCUUGACUAUUUGUGAUGCUCAUUGAAAAACUUGUUUUAUACUCCCUGGUUCAUUGGUGUAUUUACUCGUUAAGAAAUGUACAUGCAUGCUUCCUUUUCAACCUGUGAAACGGAAAAUUGGAGUGACUUCCUAUGUAAUGAAAUGGUUUGAUGUUUCUGUUUCAGUUUAUCGUAGUACAAGGUUAAGGUUCUAGCAUACACUACUGUUAUUUUGCAAUAUUGACAAAUGCAUGUUUAUAUCCUCCAUUAUGGAUCCUUUCGUUUGGAUGCAAAAUUGUGAGGCAAGAUUUUGCUUGUAACGUGAAACAUUUUACAUCAAAGGGCUUCACUGCUUUUCUUGAG
rnacentral:misc_RNA from 1 species